rnacentral:rRNA from 1 species
GUCGAGCGGACAGAAGGGAGCUUGCUCCCGGAUGUUAGCGGCGGACGGGUGAGUAACACGUGGGUAACCUGCCUGUAAGACUGGGAUAACUCCGGGAAACCGGAGCUAAUACCGGAUAUUCCUUGAACCGCAUGGUUCAAGGAUGAAAGACGGUUUCGGCUGUCACUUACAGAUGGACCCGCGGCGCAUUAGCUAGUUGGUGGGGUAAUGGCUCACCAAGGCGACGAUGCGUAGCCGACCUGAGAGGGUGAUCGGCCACACUGGGACUGAGACACGGCCCAGACUCCUACGGGAGGCAGCAGUAGGGAAUCUUCCGCAAUGGACGAAAGUCUGACGGAGCAACGCCGCGUGAGUGAUGAAGGUUUUCGGAUCGUAAAGCUCUGUUGUUAGGGAAGAACAAGUGCGAGAGUAACUGCUCGCACCUUGACGGUACCUAACCAGAAAGCCACGGCUAACUACGUGCCAGCAGCCGCGGUAAUACGUAGGUGGCAAGCGUUGUCCGGAAUUAUUGGGCGUAAAGGGCUCGCAGGCGGUUUCUUAAGUCUGAUGUGAAAGCCCCCGGCUCAACCGGGGAGGGUCAUUGGAAACUGGGAAACUUGAGUGCAGAAGAGGAGAGUGGAAUUCCACGUGUAGCGGUGAAAUGCGUAGAGAUGUGGAGGAACACCAGUGGCGAAGGCGACUCUCUGGUCUGUAACUGACGCUGAGGAGCGAAAGCGUGGGGAGCGAACAGGAUUAGAUACCCUGGUAGUCCACGCCGUAAACGAUGAGUGCUAAGUGUUAGGGGGUUUCCGCCCCUUAGUGCUGCAGCUAACGCAUUAAGCACUCCGCC